AUUGAACGCUGGCGGCAGGCCUAACACAUGCAAGUCGAGCGGAUGAAGGGAGCUUGCUCCUGGAUUCAGCGGCGGACGGGUGAGUAAUGCCUAGGAAUCUGCCUGGUAGUGGGGGAUAACGUCCGGAAACGGGCGCUAAUACCGCAUACGUCCGGAGGGAGAAAGUGGGGGAUCUUCGGACCUCACGCUAUCAGAUGAGCCUAGGUCGGAUUAGCUAGUUGGUGGGGUAAAGGCCUACCAAGGCGACGAUCCGUAACUGGUCUGAGAGGAUGAUCAGUCACAUUGGAACUGAGACACGGUCCAGACUCCUACGGGAGGCAGCAGUGGGGAAUAUUGGACGAUGGGCGAAAGCCUGAUCCAGCCAUGCCGAGUGUGUGAAGAAGGUCUUCGGAUUGUAAAGCACUUUAAGUUGGGAGGAAGGGCAGUAAGUUAAUACCUUGCUGUUUUGACGUUACCAACAGAAUAAGCACCGGCUAACUUCGUG
rnacentral:rRNA from 1 species